UCUUCUUCCUCUUCUUCUUCCUCUUCUUCUUCCUCUUCUCUUUCACUGGAGGUCGAGGGGAGAGAACAUGAGGUGGGGGAGCCCUGAGGAAACGAGCCCCGUGUGGUGCAGGGGGGCGAGGGCUGCCAUGCCCAUGGACAAAUCCUGACAGGAUUUGGUGUCCAAAUCUAGCGAUAGCCCCGUUUAACAAUCGUUUUUUAUUUUAAAGAUGAGUUUUUAAUAGGAUUCACUUGCUGAAAGGGCUGGAUUAUAUCUACAGAAUUAAACGCUUUUCUUGGUUUCGCGCUAACCACAUUGCCUGGGGGAUAUCCUAUUCUUGGGAUUCACCACAAAGACUUUUUCAUCACCUUUUGUUGUCUUCUUUUGGAUUGAGAAAGGCUCAGAGGGAAAAAAAAAAAAAAAAAAAAAAAAGUGAGGCUGGGCUCCAGCAGCAAAAGACAGGAGAGCAUCAACAUUUCUUUUAAAAUAUGAUAUUGGAGUACAAAUGUCUGUAAGGACAGGAUUUCCUCUGCUGCCUUCUGAAGUUUCUCAUCGUGGUCAAUGUUAAAAAAAAAAAUGAUACUGAAGCAAAUGAAUGUGUGGGCUAAUCCGAAAUAACAAGUCCUGAACUCUGGUUAGAAGACUCUAAUAAAUAAAAAAAGUUAUUAAAAGAAUAUAUAUAUAUAUAUAUUUUAACCCAGAAGCUUUAGGGAAAAAAAAAUCAAAGUAUAUUUUAACACAAUCUGUAAUAUCCCAAUGUACUUCUGUUGAAUACUGCUCCUUCUAGCACGGCAUUAAGGGGGAGGCGACAGCCCCAUAGCCCUUCUCCCAUGUUUCAGCUCCACCAUGUUCUAACUCCCAUAACUUGACAAGACCUUCUCACCUGUUGUCAAAGAAAUUUCUUGCAAGACCUAAAUAUGGAUGUCAUUUACCUUCUUUACUUAAAGAAAACAGUUGGUCGCAGUUACUUGCAUUUGCUACAUGCAGUGGGAGCGAAGCUGUGGGGCUGCAGGGUGAAUGUCUCCAGAGAAGCAGAAGGGAGAAGUCAAGUACGUGAGCUUCACAUUUCAGUUGCCUGCAUUGUACCUGAGAGAACAAAACUUGAGGAUACCUGUUGCUCUUGAGACACUUUUCAGAAGCACAAGGAUUACCCCCGGAGAAGAAAGGGAUACCCUGCUGUGUCUGGUAAUCUGCAAUUAGAAAAUGAUCCCGAGGGGGACUAUUAGCAGCUGGUAUCGUUUAGAGCUGUCCAGACAAGCACUGAAUUAGCUGGAGAAUCUGGAACCACAACUAGCUGCUUGACAAGCCUCUCGCUCAUCCUAUCUUGCAAACAGCAAAAUCUGCAUAGAGCAGAGAUUUUGAGCUGCUGUCUGGUGAUGCAUCGGCAUGUGCUAUGGUGGAACAGAUAAGGCACUGGAGCACAGAAAAAAGAGGACCAAAAGUUUUCAUCUCUCUUAGCAGCCAAUUUGAAACACCAGCAAACUGAUUUUUGAGGGUUGUUAGCUUUAUAUUGCUUUCCUUCUGCUGAAGAGACAACUAUCACUGACUUCAGCUGUGGCUUUAAAUACCAGACACUCCUACAAAUUUGACCACCCCUGGUCAAAUUUGCUGCCUGGGUGCCUUAAACCUAGGGGACACACCACGUGUGGUGAGUAGUUUUACAAAAUCGCAUGACAUAGUAGAGACAGAGACAUAAUCCUGUUCAAUUGGACAGUAUUGGCAACCUUAAACUCAUAACUCCGUGUUUUCUGCCUGCAGUCUGUGAUCUCAUGUAAUCCCUUCCAGCCUCAGCAGCAAAUAAGAUCAGGAUACUUGGCUCAGCUAUGACUCUCAUUUACAGCCCAAAUUCAAGUGUCAUUUAACAAGUCUGUUACAGGGCCUACACAUGAAGGGGGCAGGAAAAGGAUGCAGGGACUUUCUAUUUUGCAAUAAUACUCUUAGCAAAGAGAUUUUUUUAUGUAGUCACCCCCCCCCACACACACACACAAAUAUAAAAACAAAACAAAACAACAACAACAAAACCCACAACAUUAUAAAGAACAGGCAUUUAUGUCUUCCCCUAUAAGCACAAGGUUAUAUUUGCUCACUGUCAAUUCAGUUAGGGAGAGUCCAUUAUCCUCAGUGUCACCGGGUUCAUUUGGGACAGGGCCAAUGCCUUUCAAAGAGGUUUGAUGCCAGCACAGAUUUGGGAACCUCAGGGAUCUGCUCUCAGCCUCAAGUUGGGCACAGUGUCCUCUUCUUACUCAGCUUGACUUGUCACCUCCUCUGCACACCAACCUCCUCCUUUUCCAGUCUGAUUCACCCUGCUGCUUGGCUUCUGUUUCCAGUUUCAUUUUCUUUACUUUUUAACAAGACUCACAAGAUGUACCAAGGACAUUCCAAGACCCAGUUUGCAUCCAGUUACCUGAAAUAAGCUAUUAUAUUACUUUCUUCUGUACUGUCAACCACUGUAUUUACCAACUAAUUUUUAGCCAUUUUCUGGACAUAGAGGAGAAACCACCUACCUCUGAGUGAGGCUGACAGCAAAAAGCUUGAACUUGAGAAGCGAUCAUUUGCUUCAAAUAUAUCCUUGUGACUUAUUUUCUGUACUGGCAACAGCCUCAAAAAUAUCCUCUCAUUUUCAAGAUCAUGAGGUUUGUCAAAGUUCUGUGCUUACAUUUCUAUUUGCAGCAUUGUAACCAACUGGAUACUUGAGAAAUUCAAAUAAGGUGAAUUUCUGUACCCCUGAAAUGACUAUAACUCUUGCCUGUCUCAUUAGGAAAAUCUGUACAGUGCUUAAAUGCUUGCAUAGUGUCUUUUUCUAGGAUCAGGGUGCAUUACAUUAGUCAGUUCAUUUGCCUGUAUCCUACCAUUUCUUUCUACUUAUUUAUAUUAGCUUGAGUGAAUUAUUGCACGAGUA